UUAACACAUGCAAGUCGAGGGGCAGCAUGGCCUUAGCUUGCUAAGGCCGAUGGCGACCGGCGCACGGGUGAGUAACACGUAUCCAACCUGCCGUCUACUCUUGGACAGCCUUCUGAAAGGAAGAUUAAUACAAGAUGGCAUCAUGAGUCCGCAUGUUCACAUGAUUAAAGGUAUUCCGGUAGACGAUGGGGAUGCGUUCCAUUAGAUAGUAGGCGGGGUAACGGCCCACCUAGUCUUCGAUGGAUAGGGGUUCUGAGAGGAAGGUCCCCCACAUUGGAACUGAGACACGGUCCAAACUCCUACGGGAGGCAGCAGUGAGGAAUAUUGGUCAAUGGGCGAGAGCCUGAACCAGCCAAGUAGCGUGAAGGAUGACUGCCCUAUGGGUUGUAAACUUCUUUUAUAAAGGAAUAAAGUCGGGUAUGGAUACCCGUUUGCAUGUACUUUAUGAAUAAGGAUCGGCUAACUCCGUGCCAGCAGCCGCGGUAAUACGGAGGAUCCGAGCGUUAUCCGGAUUUAUUGGGUUUAAAGGGAGCGUAGAUGGAUGUUUAAGUCAGUUGUGAAAGUUUGCGGCUCAACCGUAAAAUUGCAGUUGAUACUGGAUAUCUUGAGUGCAGUUGAGGCAGGCGGAAUUCGUGGUGUAGCGGUGAAAUGCUUAGAUAUCACGAAGAACUCCGAUUGCGAAGGCAGCCUGCUAAGCUGCAACUGACAUUGAGGCUCGAAAGUGUGGGUAUCAAA
rnacentral:rRNA from 1 species